UACGUAGGGUGCAAGCGUUGUCCGGAAUUAUUGGGCGUAAAGAGCUCGUAGGCGGUCUGUCGCGUCGGAUGUGAAAACCCAGGGCUCAACCCUGGGCCUGCAUUCGAUACGGGCAGACUAGAGUUCGGUAGGGGAGACUGGAAUUCCUGGUGUAGCGGUGAAAUGCGCAGAUAUCAGGAGGAACACCGUUGGCGAAAGCGGGUCUCUGGGCCGAAACUGACGCUGAGGAGCGAAAGCGUGGGGAGCAAACAGG
rnacentral:rRNA from 1 species